ensembl:snRNA U1 U1 spliceosomal RNA
AUACUUACCUGGCAGGGGAGAUACCAUGAUCACGAAGGUGGUUUUCCCAGGGCGAGGCUUAUCCAUUGCACUCCGGAUGUGCUGACCCCUGCGAUUUCCCCAAAUGUGGGAAACUCGACUGCAUAAUUUGUGGUAGUGGG